GACGAACGCUGGCGGCGUGCUUAACACAUGCAAGUCGAACGGAAAGGCCCUGCUCUUGUGGGGUGCUCGAGUGGCGAACGGGUGAGUAACACGUGAGUAACCUGCCCUUGACUUUGGGAUAACUUCAGGAAACUGGGGCUAAUACCGGAUAGGAGCUCCUGCUGCAUGGUGGGGGUUGGAAAGUUUCGGCGGUUGGGGAUGGACUCGCGGCUUAUCAGCUUGUUGGUGGGGGAGUGGCUUACCCAGGCUUUGACGGGUAGCCGGCCUGAGAGGGUGACCGGCCACAUUGGGACUGAGAGACGGCCCAGAGUCCUACGGGAGGCAGCAGUGGGGAAUAUUGCACAAUGGGCGGAAGCCUGAUGCAGCAACGCCGCGUGCGGGAUGACGGCCUUCGGGGUGUAAACCGCUUUCGCCUGUGACGAAGCGUGAGUGACGGUAAUGGGUAAAGAAGCACCGGCUAACUACGUG
rnacentral:rRNA from 1 species